CUGGGGAGCGGCAUGAUUGAAUCAGGGAUUCCCUAGCCCCAGGUCCCCUUCUCCGUCAUGCUCAGGACGAGGCUGCCCAGUUCUCAGGUUGUUGUGGUGGUAUUACUACUACUCAGCAAGAUUCUGGUUUUACUUCUCAUCUUGGGAGUUACCACCUCGAAGUUAGGCAUAGCUGUGUGACCCGCUUUGGCCAAUGAAAUGUGAACAGAAAUGGCAUAUGUCACUUGUGGACAAAAACAUUUAAGCAAGAAUUUCCCUUGCUGUCUUCCUUAACUGGAGCGACCAUGGAAGCCUGUGUUGAGAUGAAGAAGCAUGGCAAAAGAUCAAAACACUUGAAAACUUGAGCUGCCACAUGGACUACAGCUGUGCUGGAGACUUGCCUGGACCCACAGCAGGCUUGGCACGCAUGGGGAAUAGAAUUUUGUUGCAUUAUGCUCCUCAGAUUAGGAUGUCAUUUGUUAUUACAGCAUUACCUAGCCUACUCUGACCAAUCAGAGCCAUUGUCCAGGCUGGUCUCAAAUUCCUGGGCUGAAA